UACGGAGGGUGCAAGCGUUAUCCGGAUUCACUGGGUUUAAAGGGUGCGUAGGAGGGCAGGGAAGUCCGUGGUGAAAUCCUAGAGCUUAACUCUAGAACUGCCGUGGAUACUCUCUGUCUUGAAUCCCGUGGAGAUGAGCGGAAUAUGUCAUGUAGCGGUGAAAUGCUUAGAUAUGACAUAGAACACCAAUUGCGAAGGCAGCUCGUUACACGAAGAUUGACUCUGAGGCACGAAAGCGUGGGGAUCAAACGGG
rnacentral:rRNA from 1 species